rnacentral:rRNA from 1 species
CAGCAGCCGCGGGAAUACGGAGGGUGCAAGCGUUAAUCGGAAUUACUGGGCGUAAAGCGUGCGUAGGCGGUUCGUUAAGUCUGUUGUGAAAGCCCCGGGCUCAACCUGGGAAUGGCAAUGGAUACUGGCGAGCUAGAGUGUGUCAGAGGAUGGUGGAAUUCCCGGUGUAGCGGUGAAAUGCGUAAAGAUCGGGAGGAACAUCAGUGGCGAAGGCGGCCAUCUGGGUCAACACUGGCGCUGAGGCACGAAAGCGUGGGGAGCAAACAGGAUUAGAUACCCGGGUAGUCCCUGUCUCUUAUAC